UACAGGAUGCGAAAAACUGGGCUCUACCAUUGGAGGUGGAGGAGGGAGAUCUUUUCGAUGGAAAGAUUGUCUUGCGGAUCCUGUAGAGUUGUUUUGAGCUCUAAUUUUUAUCAUAAUUUCUUAUUAUUCUCCCUACCUAACGCGCUAAUCUAUUGCAGCCAAUCUUCUGUUGCGUCCAUUGUCAGAGAAGAACAUCUAUAAAAAAAGUCCACACUGAUCGAAAUUAUGUCUGAUGG
rnacentral:lncRNA from 1 species